AUUGAACGCCGGCGGCAGGCCUAACACAUGCAAGUCGAGCGGGGUUUUCGGACCUAGCGGCGGACGGGUGAGUAAUGCGUAGGAAGCUACCCGAUAGAGGGGGAUACCAGUUGGAAACGACUGUUAAUACCGCAUAAUGUCUACGGACCAAAGUGUGGGACCUUCGGGCCACAUGCUAUCGGAUGCGCCUACGUGGGAUUAGCUAGUUGGUGAGGUAAUGGCUCACCAAGGCGACGAUCCCUAGCUGGCUUGAGAGGAUGAUCAGCCACACUGGAACUGAGACACGGUCCAGACUCCUACGGGAGGCAGCAGUGGGGAAUAUUGGACAAUGGGCGCAAGCCUGAUCCAGCCAUGCCGCGUGUGUGAAGAAGGCCUUCGGGUUGUAAAGCACUUUCAGUAGGGAGGAAGCGUUGUGUGUUAAUAGUACACAGCGUUGACGUUACCUACAGAAGAAGCACCGGCUAACUCUGUGCCAGCCGCCACCGUAACAC
rnacentral:rRNA from 1 species